GAUGAACGCUGGCGGCGUGCCUAAUACAUGCAAGUCGAGCGAACAGACGAGGAGCUUGCUCCUCUGACGUUAGCGGCGGACGGGUGAGUAACACGUGGAUAACCUACCUAUAAGACUGGGAUAACUUCGGGAAACCGGAGCUAAUACCGGAUAAUAUAUUGAACCGCAUGGUUCAAUAGUGAAAUACGGUUUUGCUGUCACUUAUAGAUGGAUCCGCGCCGCAUUAGCUAGUUGGUAAGUUAACGGCUUACCAAGGCGACGAUGCGUAGCCGACCUGAGAGAGUGAUCGGCCACACUGGAACUGAGACACGGACCAGACUCCUACGGGAGGCCGCAGUAGGGAAUCUUCCGCAAUGGGAGAAAGCCUGACGGAGCAACGCCGAGUGAGUGAUGAAGGUCUUCGGAUCGUAAAACUCUGUUAUUAGGGAAGAACAAAUGUGUAAGUAACUAUGCACGUAUUGACGGUACCUAAUCAGAAAGCCACGGCUAACUACGUG
rnacentral:rRNA from 1 species